GAAAUGCGAUAAGUAAUGUGAAUUGCAGAAUUCAGUGAAUCAUCGAAUCUUUGAACGCACCUUGCGCUCCUUGGUAUUCCUUGGAGCAUGCCUGUUUGAGUAUCAUGAAAUCUUCAAAGUAAAUCUUUUGUUAACUCAAUUGGUUUCUACUUUGGUAUUGGAGGUCUUUGCAGCUUCACACCUGCUCCUCUUUGUUCAUUAGCUGGAUCUCAGUGUUAUGCUUGGUUCCACUCGGCGUGAUAAGUUAUCUAUCGCUGAGGACACUGUAAAAGGUGGCCAAGGUAAAUGCAGAUGAACCGCUUCUAAUAGUCCAUUGACUUGGACAAUACUUUUAUGAUCUGAUCUCAAAUCAGGUAUGAAUACCCGCUGAACUUAAGC
rnacentral:misc_RNA from 1 species